rnacentral:lncRNA from 1 species
AUGGAAACAGAUUCAAUAAUAAUGAAAAAAUAAUAAUAUCAAAUAGUACAAUUUUGGCUUAGGUAGAUGCCCGUAGAAAAAAUGUCAACUUCUUGAUCUUAAUGAAGAGGUAGUCUUACGUACACACAAAUAUAAAUAAAAUUAGCUGACCACACACACAAUAAUGAAGAAAACUAAAUAAAUAAAUAAAUUAGUUACAUCUCAAAUUUUUAAAAUUUAAGUUUGUCCCCAAGCAAGAAAUUCUCCUUAAUGAAACAACAUACAUGCCCAAAUGAACAAUAUGAAGUAGUGUCCGGUAAAAGUGAUCAUCCCCGCUCCUCCUCCAUCACUUCCACGUGUUGCUGUAAAUUCGUAAAAACUCAGGAUCAUUGGUGAUUUUACAUACAUCAUUUAGAGCAUCUCCAAUAACACUUUUACUAAGAGAUUUUUUAUGUGACUCCCACAUGCACAUCACUUUUUUUAAAUGAGUUCCACUAAUAAUUUUACAAUAUUGCAUAACAAUAAUUUAUUUGUUAGAUCAUAAUAUCUUUUUCUUAGAGAAUAAUUAUCUUAUUUAUGAAAAUAUUAAAUUUAUUUGUGCAAUUUUUUUUCUUCCAAUUUUUUUUCAAUAAUUUAACCAUUAUAAAAACAGUGGAAUGCAUGUUGUAAAAAAAGUUGAAAUAUCUGAAGUUGACAUUUAUGUUCCUAACACUAGCAAUAUUUCCCUGUUUUUUAUGCAUAUGGUAACAAAUCUCACAAGACAAGUAUGCUAUUUUUAUUCUCUCAAAAAUAAAAAAAAAGUUUAAAUAUGUUUUUUAUCCUUUAUCUUUUAUUAAAAAAUUGUUUUGGUCCUUUAACUUUUUUGUAAAUUAUUUGUCCUUUGUCUUUUUAAAAAGUGAUAUUUUAGUCUUUGGCAUACCAAAACCAAUAAAAUAAAGACUAAAAUAUCACCCUUUUGAAAAGAUAUUAGAUUAAAACAAUUCAAAAAAAAAAAGAUAAAAGACCAAAUAUAUAUUUAAGCCAAGAAAAAAAAGUACGCUAUUUUCCGUAGAAAAAACCUUUAUGGAGCCCUUUUAUGAGAAUGAGAACGAUGUAGAUAGAUAGAGUUUGAAUAACUAAAUGAGACAACUACACUACGGCGAGUUCUUCAUUUUGAAAUAUGGGAUGGUUUGUAAAAAAAAAAAGUUAUUUUAUAAUAUUAAUUGUGUCUUGUCUUUUUUUUUUUUUUUUGUCAGGUAGCCUAGUGGUUAGAAUUCACUUUUUUUAAGGUGAAUAAGUGGGGUGUCCGGGGUUCGAACCCCGGCUCCUGUAUAUAACAAUGCAUGUCCCUGCCAACUGAACUAUGCUCACGGGGACUCUUGUCUUUUAACUAUUAUCUUAAAAUUAUUUUUCCCGAAUUAUUUUUCACUAUAUCACAAAACACAACGCAAAUUCACGACAUGCUACUCCUAUUUAUUUAAAGAAAACUACUCAGCCACCGGUGUGUCACAAUGCAAGUAAAAGUUGUUUGGAUUGAUUUAUUUUUAACGUUAAGGCAAGAUAGUUUAUGCAAAUAACUAAAUUUUUAUGUAUUAUUUAUAUGUUUGUCAAGUUAUUUUAUAAAAUAAAAACUUCUAAAGAUACAAUUCUUGUUAGUAAGAAUUUAUGAAUUAACAUUUUUUUUUAAAGAACUGAUUCAUAAGUUCAAAAUAGGUCAAUUCAAAUGAGUCCUAAGAAUUGUUCAUAAUCCCAAAAAUAAAAAAAGAGAGAAAUUGAAAGGCUUUUUACCUGGAGGUUGCAUCAAUGACGGAGAAAGACCUGGAGCAGAGGCUGCAAUUUUCCAAAACGUAAUGUAAAUUUCAGGUAAGGUAAUUUUUUUUCUUCUUAUAUUGAAGUAAAUUAUAAUGUACCUUUUAAAAUUUUAUUUAAAUUUUAAGUAAAGUAAAACAAAAUUAUGAUAUGUGAACGAAUAAUUGGAAGAUAUAUAUUCAACUAAGCUUCAUAUGCUAUUGUGUUCAUGUUUAAUUAAUAGAAAAAGUCUUGUAUAUAUAUUAGAACAAACAAAAACCCAAUUAAUAUGAAACGGUUUAAUAAUUUCAUAUAUAUAUAUAUAUAUAUAUAUAUAUAUAUAUAUAUAUAUAUAUAUAUAUAUAUAUAUAUAUAUAUAUGGUACCUUUGCAGGAGGUGGGAUCGAAUUUGACACCACAUGAGUUAACAACUUUGACAGCCAAAGCUAGUUUAACACCAAAACUUUCGAGUAGACCAGGAGUUGAAAUUUGACAGAAACAUGUAUAAUCGUGAGUUGCUUCAAAAAUUUCUUUAAUUGGAUUGCAGCAAAUGUCUGGUGGAUGAGUGGAAUUGAGGUAGUCUGUGCAUGGCAACAUCUUAUCACCAGCACAAGGUGGAAGCAUUUGUGCAUCUACUAUGCUAAUUACAUUUAUGUUAAUUACUAAGAUAAUCAACAAAACCACCAUCAUCCUCAUAAUAUACAUUCUGCAAUUAUCCAUUUUGUUAUGUUCCACUUUAUUUCUUAUGUUGA